GACGAACGCUGGCGGCGUGCUUAACACAUGCAAGUCGAACGGAAAGGCCCUGCUUUUGUGGGGUGCUCGAGUGGCGGACGGGUGAGUAACACGUGAGUAACCUGCCCUUGACUUUGGGAUAACUUCAGGAAACUGGGGCUAAUACCGGAUAGGAGCUCCUGCUGCAUGGUGGGGGUUGGAAAGUUUCGGCGGUUGGGGAUGGACUCGCGGCUUAUCAGCUUGUUGGUGGGGUAGUGGCUUACCAAGGCUUUGACGGGUAGCCGGCCUGAGAGGGUGACCGGCCACAUGGGGACUGAGAUACGGCCCAGACUCGUACGGGAGGCAGCGGUGGGGAAUAUUGCACAAUGGGCGCAAGCCUGAUGCAGCAACGCCGCGUUCGGGAUGACGGCCUUCGGGUUGUAAACCGCAUUCGCCUAUGACGAAGCGUGAGUGACGGUAAUGGGUAAAGAAGCACCGGCUAACUACGUG
rnacentral:rRNA from 1 species